AACGCAUUUCUUAUUCAAAUUAUUUCCUGUAGUUUCUUUACUUAAGGGCUGAUUCCGUCUCCUUUGGCAGUCUAAUCAUAACUGUGCAUGGCACCUGCUUACAUAUUUCUCUGAGAUUUCAGCCCAAGGAAACAUGAUCACUUCUGUUGCGAUAGCAGCUUUUCUGACUCUCUUUCCUUCUUGUAUUUGUUCUGAGAUUAAGCUGGUGGAAACGGGCGGAGGCAUCAAAACUCCUGGGAAUGACUUUAAUCUGAUUUGCACAGCAUUCGGAUUCUCAGUCACUGAUUAUGGGGUGAACUGGAUUCGUCAAGUAACUGGAAAGGCCCCUCAGUGGAUGGGGGUUCAAUGGGGAGGAGGGAGCAUUGACUACAAUCCUGCUUUAAGGUCACGGAUCACCAUCACCCGAGAUCCAGCAAAACGCCAAUCAUAUUUGCGUGUAAAUGAUGCUUCAGAGCAUGACAGUGGAACUUAUUACUGCGCCAUACAAUAUGGAACAAGCACAGUGGUUUCAGAACAGCUGCUAGCUGUGCAGAAAGCUUCUGUAAACAGGGAAAAUACCCAGGGGAAAAAAUCAGCUGAUCCCUAAACAUGUACUCUAUUUAAUCAGGCUUUUCACAUUAUUUUCACAAAUCAACCCUAGUAUUAAAUCAAAUGCCUAAAGCCAUAUCAAGCUCCACAUUUCCUGGGAGAUUUUACACUGGCUAAUUGAAUCCCAGUCCUACCUAGCACAACUAAUCUUAAUCAAAGCAAUCUUAAUCAAAUUACUUAAGAACCACAUAUUGCAGAGUGUUGAAUCAACCUAUCCUCCAAUCAUAAACAGAUCCAAUCCGGGCUGUGGCGCAGGCUGGUGAGCAGCCAGCUGCAACAAAUCACUCUGACCAAGAGGUUAUGAGUUCGAGGCCAGCUCGGAGCCUGCGUUUGUCUCUGUCUCUGUUCUAUGUUAAGGCAUUGAAUGUUUGCCUUAUAGGUGUAAUGUGAUCCGCUCUGAGUCCCCUUCGGGGUGAGAAGGGUGGAAUAUAAAUAUUGUAAAUAAAUAAAUAAAAAUCCUUAAAGGAGAACUGACACCACAAAAGUUAAUCUGUGGAGCAAACAGUUCCAACUGAGCCUUUUUUAUAGGGGCAUUUUACACAC